GAACGCAGCGUCGCGACGACGGCGGCGGC
rnacentral:sRNA from 1 species